CAUAUAUGUUUAUUUUAUUUUUUUUUUUUUAUUCUUUACUAUAUAUGCCUGCAUAGUAAUGAUGGGUAUGUAAAGGUGACACACAUUUGGUUAAUUAAAUUUAAAUGUGUGUAAAUUAUAAUGAAUUCCAUUAAAUGGCAUUUUGAGAAUUCUAUAUUUAUAAGAGGCACAUAAAUAAACUUAUAAUGGUUAUAUAAAGUGAAAGGAUUAUAUAAAAUCAUAAGAAAUUUUGAUUAAAUUAGAAAGUAUAAGAAAGUACAUUUAUAAAUAGAUUAUAAACUAAGAAUAAUAUUUGAAAGUAUUAGAUUAUAUAGGGGUUAGUUGAAAGAACCUAGAAAAAAUAAGAAAAUACUGACUUAAUAUUAUAGAGGAUAGAGUUAUAUUGAUUUUACUGGAAGGAAUAAUGAUUUUAUUUAAGUAAAUUAAAAUAAAAAAGAAUGAAUAGUAUUAAGUUAAAAAUAAUUGUAUCUAACAAUAAAAAGUAAAAGCUCAGAAGAAAAAUUGCUUAAGAGUCUUUAAAUCAUAAAUAUAAAUUACACCCUAGAAACAUUUGAUGCAGAUCAAAAAAACAAUAUGAUGUGUUUAAUAUUUAUUAUUAUCUUGAAGAAGAUUUCAGAAAAAAAACCUUUUAAGUUAGCACUCAGAAGCUUAAAAGGAAAUAAUAGAAUAAUGUAUAAAUAUGAGAUGAGAUUUCUUUAUCUUUAUAUCGAAUCGUAAAAUUGUUAGUACAAGAAAUAAACUGGAAUUGUAAAAAUAAAAUAAAAUAAAUAACUUUAUAACGUCAAAAAAUAGAGUUACUUUUUAUUUGUCAAUAUGUAAGAAGAUUUUUAAUGAACCUACCUGGUAAUUAUAAAUUGAAAAUUGAAGACUGCGAAGAAAAAGAAGAUGCUGAAGAGCUAAAAGAUGCAGAAGAGCUAGAAUAUGCUGAAAAUCUAGAAUAUGCUGAAGAACUUAAAAAUGCUGAAGAAUUAAAAAUGCUGAAGAAUUAAAAAUGCUGAAGAACAUUAAAAAAUAAGGUUACCUUAAGUCUUAUUAACAUAUAUAAUAGGUUGUAUGAAGAACGUAUAUGGUAUUACAACUUAAAUAAAACUUAAAGGAUAAAAAUGAAUAAAAAGGUGUAGAACGAAGAUAAAAUAUACAUCUUGAGUAUAUCAAAAGAUAUAAGAUAAUUGAGAGAGAAAUGUAUACAGAUAUAUGGGUAUAUUAAUAAUAAGUAAAUGGAAUCCAGAAACAAACUGAUAUACUCAAAGAUGUCUUAAAUAAACAUGUAUAUGCAGAACAGCAUGAUAGUUUUUUUUUUAUUUUUGUAUAUACCAAUGUUAUUAAUGGUUAUAUAAGAAAUAAGCUGUAAAAUAUACUUAAUAGUGACCUUGAAAGAUAAUGACUUAGAAGAACAGACACAUAUAUACGCGCUUAUGUAUUUUUUGUUUGUAUAUACCAACUGACUUAAUGGAUUUAUAUAAGAAGAUAACUGACAUUUAAAAGGCAAACGUUACAAAUAUAUAUAUAUAGGAAGGAGAAGAAGCUUUAUUUUAAUUUUUUUUUUUUAUAUAUACCAAUGUCUAAAUGGUUGAUAAAAGAAAUGAACUGCGAUAAGUAAAGAAAGAUCAAUAAAAGGAAAAAAGGAAUUAUAUAGAAGAAGCACAUUAUAAAAACUAAAAAGGCAAAAUCAGAACUAAAAAUAGAUAUAACUCAGUGCUUAGUACUCAGAACUGAGAACUGACAAGACAGGAAAUAAAAAAUAUAAUGUGAUAGAGAAGUAAUAACUGUGAAAAAAAGUUAUGAAAAUAAGCCUUCUUAAGAUAUGUUAUUAAAUACAUAAUAUUGUUAUGCAGAACGGCAUACAUGGAAUGUGUAUAGAAAUAUAUAAAGGACAUGAAGAAAUUAUAUAGUUAAAUAGAAUCACACAAUAUGAUAAUGGAGAAAAACAAAUAGUUAUAGGCAAAAUACACAUAAACGUAUAAAUGAUAUGAAGAAAAACAACGAAUAAAUGGAAGAUGAGAGCAGAGUGUGUUUAUAUUUAGAAAAUCUAUUAUAUUCUAAGCCCCAAGAAUAUUAUUGGAAAUUUUAAAUAUAUACAUAUAUAUAUAUAUAAGCCUUUUAUAUACAAAGGAAAGUUUUUUAUAUUAUACAAAACCCCACUUGUGUAUAAUAUAGAGAACUUUUUUUAUUUAAAUUGGCAUAGAAGAUUCUAUAGGAGAUUAUUAAAUGUUAUGGAUAUAUGAAGAAGAAAAAUUUAUAUUUAAGAGAUAUUGUCCUUAAAAGUUUUAUCUUAAUAUUGUUUUGCCAAAACUUUUAAUUUACUUUGAUAUUUCAGAAAGAAUAUAGUUUUAAUCGUGUGUCUUAAAAGUAUAUAGUGUUUUAGUCAGUGUUUUUUGAAAGAAUAUGGGUUCCUUCCAAUGUGCCUUAUAAUAUAUUUAGUGCGAUCAGUAUUUUCUUGAGGAUAUAGUUUAUUUUGAUGUACUUUUGAGGAUAUAGUUUUUUUAAUAUUUUGGAAGAUCUAAUAUAUAAUCCUUUCACAAUACUAAAAAGGUAGUACAUUAUUUUGUGUUUCUUAUAUUAUAUAAUUUUCUUAGUGUUGUUUAUGUUUUCAUGAUAAUUUAUGCAUAUAUUUUUUUAGUUUUUCAUUUUCACCAAUACAUUCGUUGAACUGUGUGUGGUGUAUAUUGUUUUUUUCUCAUUCUUAUGUUUUUUUCUUAUUCUUGUGUUUUUUUCUUAUUCUUGUGUUUUUUUCUCAUUCUUAUGUUUUUUUCUUAUUCUUGUGUUUUUUUUUUAUUCUUCUGUUUUUUUUUUAUUCUUCUGUUUUUUUCUCAUUCUUAUGUUUUUU